UACAGAGGGUGCGAGCGUUGUUCGGAAUUAUUGGGCGUAAAGGGCGCGUAGGCGGCGUGACAAGUCACUUGUGAAAUCUCCGGGCUUAACUCGGAACGGUCAAGUGAUACUGUUGUGCUAGAGUACAGAAGGGGCAAUCGGAAUUCUUGGUGUAGCGGUGAAAUGCGUAGAUAUCUGAAGGAACAUCAGUGGCGAAAGCGACUUCCUGGACCAAUACUGACGCUCAUGUGCGAAAGCGUGGGGAGCAAACAGG
rnacentral:rRNA from 1 species